GGGGUUAUUCAUGUAGUUUCAUUUCAAUACAGCAACUGUUUUCUCUUAUUUUUAACACCACCAACAGUCUCACAAAAGAUUAUCAUACGAAAUCCAAAUAACGAGCAGUUUCUACUAAAGAAAUACUUUGACCAAUGUACCAAAAUCAAAUCGCUUCCACAAUAAAUUUUUUAAUUCAUUGCAAUUGAAAAGGGAAUUAGGAACAAUAGAAAUAGACGAGUAAAUGAGAAAAUGAGAUGUAUAGAAUGGAAUUUGAUUUGAGGCUUUGGGAUUUAGAUGUUGUGAGAAAAAGAAAAUACAGAGGGGUGAGAGACGACGACACCGCUACAUACGUCGCGGAGGUCGCUGGCCAUUCACGGUGAACGGAGGGGGGUAGAGUGGCGGCAGUCGUCGUUGGGGUUGUUGUCCGACCGAAAGGGAGGAGGCGCGGCGGUACCAAUCUUCCGCCAAUGGCUGUUCGGCCGAGGAGUCGAAGGAGUGAGAAGAGAUGAGGCGGCGACGAUCUACGCCGUUCGCAUGGCUGCGGCUCCAGGGCAUGGGCCUCGGCGGCGCCAUAGACGCCGACGCCCUCGCCGAUCUGCCGCUAUUCAGCCUCAGCAUGGCGCACAAGUCCGUAGGAGUAUAGAGAGAGAGAGUGAGAGAAGAGAGAGACUGAAAGGAGAGAGAGAGAGAUUAGGCAUGGCUAAUUUUUUAAUUUUUA
rnacentral:lncRNA from 1 species